CCUUGUACACACCGCCCGUCAAGUCAUGAAAGUCGGUAACACCCGAAGCCAGUGGCCUAACCGUGAGGAGGGAGCUGUCGAAGGUGGGAUCGGUGAUUAGGACU
rnacentral:rRNA from 1 species